rnacentral:rRNA from 1 species
UACGUAGGGGGCAAGCGUUGUCCGGAAUUACUGGGCGUAAAGGGAGCGCAGGCGGUCUUUUAAGUAGGAUGUGAAAUACCCGGGCUUAACCUGGGGGGUGCAUCCUAAACUGGGGGACUUGAGUGUGGGAGAGGAAAGUGGAAUUCCUAGUGUAGCGGUGAAAUGCGUAGAUAUUAGGAGGAACACCAGUGGCGAAGGCGACUUUCUGGACCAUAACUGACGCUGAGGCUCGAAAGCGUGGGGAGCAAACAGGAUUAGAUACCCUGGUAGUCCACGCUGUAAACGAUGAAUACUAGGUGUAGGGGGUAUCAACUCCCUCUGUGCCGCAGCUAACGCAAUAAGUAUUCCGCCUGGGGAGUACGGUCGCAAGACUGAA